CCUACGGGAGGCAGCAGUGAGGAAUAUUGGUCAAUGGGCGGGAGCCUGAACCAGCCAAGUCGCGUGAGGGAAGACGGUCCUAUGGAUUGUAAACCUCUUUUGUCGGGGAGCAAAGAGGCCACGUGUGGUCAAAAGCGAGAGUACCCGAAGAAAAAGCAUCGGCUAACUCCGUGCCAGCAGCCGCGGUAAUACGGAGGAUGCGAGCGUUAUCCGGAUUUAUUGGGUUUAAAGGGUGCGCAGGCGGCGAGUUAAGUCAGCGGUAAAAUUUCGGGGCUCAACCCCGACGAGCCGUUGAAACUGGCUUG
rnacentral:rRNA from 1 species